GCAGCCGUGAGGUAAUGGUAGCCUUAAAGCUUCCCAAGCUUUAUGUUCGGGUUCGAAUCCCGGCGGCUGCA
rnacentral:tRNA from 1 species